CAAGACCUUGCGCUUUUGGAGCGGCCGGUGCCCGAUUAGCUUGUUGGUGAGGUAAAAGCUCACCAAGGCUUCGAUCAGUAGCUGGUCUGAGAGGACGACCAGCCACACUGGGACUGAGACACGGCCCAGACUCCUGCGGGAGGCAGCAGUGGGGAAUUUUGGACAAUGGGGGCAACCCUGAUCCAGCCAUGCCGCGUGAGUGAAGAAGGCCUUCGGGUUGUAAAGCUCUUUCAGCCGGAACGAAACGGUUACGGUUAAUACCCGUGACUACUGACGGUACCGGAAGAAGAAGCACCGGCUAACUACGUGCCAGCAGCCGCGGUAAUACGUAGGGUGCGAGCGUUAAUCGGAAUUACUGGGCGUAAAGCGUGCGCAGGUGGUUUUGUAAGUCAGAUGUGAAAUCCCCGGGCUUAACCUGGGAACU
rnacentral:rRNA from 1 species